rnacentral:rRNA from 1 species
GAUGAACGCUAGCUACAGGCUUAACACAUGCAAGUCGAGGGGCAGCGCAGUGUAGCAAUACAUGGGCGGCGACCGGCGCACGGGUGCGUAACGCGUAUCCAACCUUCCCGUUACUCAGGGAUAGCCUUCCGAAAGGGAGAUUAAUACCUGAUGGUGUUUGAAUUCCGCAUGUUAUUCAAACUAAAGAUUUAUCGGUAACGGAUGGGGAUGCGUGACAUUAGAUAGUAGGCGGGGUAACGGCCCACCUAGUCUACGAUGUCUAGGGGUUCUGAGAGGAAGGUCCCCCACACUGGAACUGAGACACGGACCAGACUCCUACGGGAGGCAGCAGUAAGGAAUAUUGGGCAAUGGAGGCAACUCUGACCCAGCCAUGCCGCGUGAAGGAUGGAGGCCCUACGGGUCGUAAACUUCUUUUGUCAGGGAAUAAAGUCACCUACGUGCAGGUGUUUGCAGGUACCUGAAGAAUAAGCAUCGGCUAACUCCGUG